rnacentral:rRNA from 1 species
GAACCUUACCUGGGCUCGAAGCGCAGUGGACCGGGGUAGAAAUAUCCCUUUCCGCAAGGACUGCUGCGGAGGUGCUGCAUGGCUGUCGUCAGCUCGUGUCGUGAGAUGUUGGGUUAAGUCCCGCAACGAGCGCAACCCUUACUUCCAGUUGCCAUCAUUCAGUUGGGCACUCUGGCAGAACCGCCUCGGAUAACGGGGAGGAAGGUGGGGAUGACGUCAAGUCCUCAUGGCCUUUAUGUCCAGGGCUACACACGUGCUACAAUGGCCGGUACAAACCGUCGCAAACCUGCGAAGGGGAGCUAAUCGGAAAAAGCCGACCUCAGUUCGGAUUGGAGUCUGCAACUCGACUCCAUGAAGCUGGAAUCGCUAGUAAUCGCAGAUCAGAACGCUGCGGUGAAUACGUUCCCGGGCCUUGUCACACCGA